rnacentral:rRNA from 1 species
GACAGAGGCCUCGAGCGUUAGGCGGAAUCACUGGGCUUAAAGCGUGUGUAGGCGGAUCGUUAAGUGCCUUGUGAAAUCCCACGGCUUAACUGUGGAACGGCUGGGCAUACUGGCGGUCUUGAGCCAUCUAGGGGCGACUGGAACAAACGGUGGAGCGGUGAAAUGCGUAGAUAUCAUUUGGAACGCCAAUGGUGAAAACAGGUCGCUGGGGAUGUGCUGACGCUGAGACACGAAAGCCAGGGGAGCAAACGGG